UACGAGGGGGGCAAGCGUUGUUCGGAAUUAUUGGGCGUAAAGGGUGCGUAGGCGGUCUGACAAGUCUGAUGUGAAAUCUAUGGGCUCAACCCAUAGUCUGCAUCGGAAACUGUCGGGCUUGAGUAUGGGAGAGGUGAGUGGAAUUUCCGGUGUAGCGGUGAAAUGCGUAGAUAUCGGAAAGAACACCAACGGCGAAAGCACUCUGCUGGGCCGACACUGACACUGAGAGACGAAAGCUAGGGGAGCGAAUGGG
rnacentral:rRNA from 1 species